UAAAAAUUUGAUUUAUGCAGCUCUGUGGGCAGGACCUUUUACUCCUGACCAAUCAGUUCCCUCUGUUAAAACCACAACCGCCUAACCAUUGGCUGGAUUGUUCCAUCGAUCAAAUCUCAGGAAGUAGCUCCCCACAUGAGCAAGAGAGGAUAAGGUGGAGAGGGAGUAAGAUCACUAGAAAGCCGCAUGCUGCCAGACCACCAAAGGACCCUAGAGGUUGAAGAACAUCCCCAACACCCAGACUGACCUAAAGAACUUGGGAACCUCCCAGACACCAGGAGAAUCAUCUUGUUCUUGGUGUUUAUUCACAAGGUUUGUCAUGAUUUCCAGGAGCCUAGUGGAGUUGGAUACAACAUACUCCAAGGCAGGACAUUUCCCUGCAUCCAGGUUAAGGUCUGCUACCAGCAGGAACAUGGAGCACUCCAUGUCAGUAAUCAUAUACACUACCGUUCAAAAGUUUGGGGUCACUUAGAAUUGUCCUUGUUUUUGAAAGAGGAGCAAUUUUUUUCUCUCUAUUAAAAUAACAUCAAAUUGAUCAGAAAUACAGUGUAGACACUGUUAAUGUUGUAAAUGACUUGUAGCUGGAAACGGCAGAUUUUU